GAUAAACGCAGAGGCGAUUUAGAAUUGUUGUUCUUCCACAGAGAUUCGUUCUUCGGGGCGAUAUGGAUGUGGAUGAUGAUGAUGACAAUUAUUAUCAAACAACAACACCAAUUUUAUCUUCUUGGGUCCCGAUGAUAUUCGGGAUAAAAAAGAAAUACAUACCCCUGUUGUUGAAGAUCAUGAGGAUCGAUCAUAUCUAAGAGACG